rnacentral:tRNA from 1 species
AGAGGCUGUAGCUCAGUGGUAGAGCAUCAUCUUGGUAUGCAGGAGGCCCUGGGGUCAAUCCCCUGGUAUCUCCA